AGACGUCUACAUUAGAUACCCCCUGUAGUCCCAGCCGUAAACUAUGCGCGUUAGGUGUAUCGGUGACCACGAGUCACCGAGGUGCCGAAGGGAAACCGUGAAACGUGCCGCCUGGGAAGUACGGUCGCAAGGCUGAAACUUAAAGGAAUUGGCGGGGAGCACCACAACGGGUGGAGCCUGCGGUUUAAUUGGACUCAACGCCGGGAAGCUCACCGGAUAAGACAGCGGAAUGAUUGCCGGGCUGAAGACCCUGCAUGACCAGCUG
rnacentral:rRNA from 1 species